AAAAAGGUAAACCGCAGGUUUACGUAUCAAUGUUUGAUUGUCCGUCUUAUAUAAAUUUUUUUUAUAAUUAGUAUUUUUAUUGUUGUUAGAUGAUAAAACAUGAUGAAUACUUUAUACGUGUCUUAUCUUUUUAAUUUUUUUUAUAAUUUUUUUAAAUAAGACGGACAGUCAAACAUUGGACACGGAAAUAAGGGUUUGUCUUUCU
rfam:Oryza rufipogon genomic scaffold, chr08